rnacentral:rRNA from 1 species
GGCUCAGGACGAACGCUGGCGGCGUGCUUAACACAUGCAAGUCAAGGGGGCCCGCAAGGGUAACCGGCGAACGGGUGCGUAACACGUGAGCAAUCUGCCUAGAUGUGGGGGAUAGCCGGCCCAACGGCCGGGUAAUACCGCAUACGCUCUCCGGCUGGCAUCGGCUGGAGAGGAAACAUUCGUGGCAUCUAGAGGAGCUCGCGGCCUAUCAGCUAGUUGGUGGGGUAACGGCCUACCAAGGCUUUGACGGGUAGCUGGUCUGAGAGGAUGGCCAGCCACAUUGGGACUGAGAUACGGCCCAGACUCCUACGGGAGGCAGCAGUGGGGAAUAUUGCGCAAUGGCCGAAAGGCUGACGCAGCGACGCCGCGUGGGGGAUGAAGCAUUUCGGUGUGUAAACCCCUGUUGCUCGGGACGAACAAUCGGCUUUAGCCGAUCUGACGGUACCGGGUGAGGAAGCACCGGCUAACUCCGUGCCAGCAGCCGCGGUAAUACGGAGGGUGCGAGCGUUGUCCGGAAUCACUGGGCGUAAAGGGCGCGUAGGCGGUCUGCUAAGCGUGCGGUGAAAGCCUGGGGCUCAACCCCAGGUCUGCCGUGCGAACUGGUGGACUAGAGCACUGUAGAGGCAGGUGGAAUUCCGGGUGUAGCGGUGGAAUGCGUAGAGAUCCGGAAGAACACCGGUGGCGAAGGCGGCCUGCUGGGCAGUUGCUGACGCUGAGGCGCGACAGCGUGGGGAGCAAACAGGAUUAGAUACCCUGGUAGUCCACGCCGUAAACGAUGGGCACUAGGUGCUUGGGGGAGCGACCCCCCGAGUGCCGGCGCUAACGCAUUAAGUGCCCCGCCUGGGGAGUACGACCGCAAGGUUGAAACU